UGUGUUGUCAGACUCACCGUUAACAGACAUGGCCGGCAUGACCAGAGACAUUUUGGGUCGGCUGGUCUUAUUGUGGCUGAUGGCAGGGUAACUUCUUUGUCGUCUUCUUCAAACUUCAGUCUGACUGAAUGUGACACGUCAAAGGUGUUUGCUGCCCUCUUCAAGGAGGAUUAGUUGGUGUUGAAGCGUUGCAGAGUUUUUCUGGUUUGUCCGGAUCGAGCUGUUGAGUCACUUCUCGUGUUGUCAUACCCGU